rnacentral:rRNA from 1 species
AUUGAACGCUGGCGGCAUGCUUUACACAUGCAAGUCGAACGGUAACAGGCCGCAAGGUGCUGACGAGUGGCGAACGGGUGAGUAAUGCAUCGGAACGUGCCCAGCCGUGGGGGAUAACGCAGCGAAAGCUGUGCUAAUACCGCAUACGAUCUAUGGAUGAAAGCGGGGGACCGUAAGGCCUCGCGCGAUUGGAGCGGCCGAUGUCAGAUUAGCUAGUUGGUGGGGUAAAGGCCCACCAAGGCGACGAUCUGUAGCUGGUCUGAGAGGACGACCAGCCACACUGGGACUGAGACACGGCCCAGACUCCUACGGGAGGCAGCAGUGGGGAAUUUUGGACAAUGGGCGCAAGCCUGAUCCAGCAAUGCCGCGUGCAGGAAGAAGGCCUUCGGGUUGUAAACUGCUUUUGUACGGAACGAAACGGUCUGGGUUAAUACCCUGGGCUAAUGACGGUACCGUAAGAAUAAGGACCGGCUAACUACGUGCCAGCCGCCGCCGUAACAC